rnacentral:misc_RNA from 1 species
GAAGAACUUUGGAAAACUGCCCCCCAUUUCAAUAAAAAGGGGAAGAAAAAGAAAAGCAUGAUUCACCUAGAUCACAGACUGGAUGACAUUGAGAAGGAAUNNNNNUAAGAAACCCCAGAUUCUACUGAUAAUGAAAGUGUUCAAAUGUCAAGAAAUAAGGUUAAGCCUGUCAUUCGUUCUUCCAGCCCUAUGGUCCACACCCCCG